UGGUCUGUAUGUCAAGUGUGUUGCUGAUUGGUCAGUAAAUAAAUCACUGAUUGGCCAUUGGCUAGGCAGGAAGUAUAGGCGGGACAAGGAGAAGAAUUCUGGGAAGUGGAAGGCUGAGGGAGAGACACUGCCAGCCACCACCAUGACAAGCCGCAUGUGAAGAUACUGGUAAACCACGAGCCAUGUGGCAAGAGGGCCAGCCUGAAACAAGCAACAGAACAGGGAAGAGACCGGAGUCUGGUGCAAUCAAGAGCAAUAUUGGCAUGGCGUGUGAAUGCUCAAGCAGUUUAAAAAAAAAAAAAGCCAGACCACCAAACCUAGCUGAGCCCAUGGCAUGACCCACCCGAGGUAGGAGCUUUGGAACUUCCUUUGAUGGAGCGGAGGACCUGGACCCUGGGUAGAGAUCUCAACAUGGUCUGUCUGUGUCCUCCCUGCAACAAACCUGCCAGUCUGGCUGGCCUGAGGAAAUGUCUGCUCCGUCGACUGCCUUUCCCACUCUUAGGGUCAAUUUCCUUGAGACCCUUGUACCAGAUAGUUGAAACGACGUUGCAGCAUCGCAACACCCCACCC